rnacentral:tRNA from 1 species
GCCCGAAGUAGCCGAGGCGGUCCGCGUCGAGCCAUUCGACCUGGCUGACGUCGGUGCCCGCGGUGUCGAUCCGCCGCACCGCACCGGUGUCCGGAUC